rnacentral:lncRNA from 1 species
CCUUAUUAAACACACCCAACAAUGGCUCCAACCCAAACAACGAUUCUUACUUCGGUUGCUCAACUCAAUGUGUUCACAAAGAACACAAUAUGGUGGCUGCAAUGAAUCACCAAGAAUAGAGGAAGACAGAUUCACUUUUAAGGCUCAAGAGAGAAAACAAGAGAAAAUGUCGGCUGCCUCUUUUCAUUUGCACACACACACGGCUUAUUCAACAAUGAGGCCAAUAUAUAGGUUUAGGGUGUAAUAAUAUAGUGGGCUUAUGGACCAACUAAUGGUUAAAGGGGGCGGAACACAAAUUGAGCCAUCCAAGAAGUAAAUGGGCCGUGAGCAACAUUAACUAUAUUAAGUUGCUUCAAACGACCCUCAAGUUGUUUUUUGGGUUGAGUCAAUU